rnacentral:rRNA from 1 species
AUUGAACGCUGGCGGAAUGCUUUACACAUGCAAGUCGAACGGCAGCACGGGGGUAACCCUGGUGGCGAGUGGCGAACGGGUGAGUAAUACAUCGGAACGUGCCCAAUCGUGGGGGAUAACGUAGCGAAAGCUACGCUAAUACCGCAUACGAUCUACGGAUGAAAGCGGGGGAUCGCAAGACCUCGCGCGAAUGGAGCGGCCGAUGGCAGAUUAGGUAGUUGGUGGGGUAAAGGCUCACCCAGCCAACGAUCUGUAGCUGGUCUGAGAGGACGACCAGCCACACUGGGACUGGGACACGGCCCAGACUCCUACGGGAGGCAGCAGUGGGGAAUUUUGGACAAUGGGCGCAAGCCUGAUCCAGCCAGUCCGCGUGCAGGAUGAAGGCCUUCGGGUUGUAAACUGCUUUUGUACGGAACGAAACUGCCCUUUCUGAUACAGAGGGCUAAUGACGGUACCGUAAGAAUAAGCACCGGCUAACUACGUGCCAGCAGCCGCAGUAA